GAUGAAGAACGUAGCGAAAUGCGAUACGUAAUGUGAAUUGCAGAAUUCAGUGAAUCAUCGAAUCUUUGAACGCAUAUUGCGCUCUCUGGUAUUCCGGAGAGCAUGCUUGUUUGAGUAUCAGUAAACACCUCAACUUCCAUAUCUUUUUUGAAAUGGGAGUUGGACUUGAGUGAUCCCAACGCUUUUCCUCACCGAAAAGUGGCGGGUUACUUGAAAUGCAGGUACAGCUGGACUUUUCUCUGAGCUAUAAGCAUAUCUAUUUAGUCUGCCUAAAAAACAGAUUAUUACCUUUGCUGCAGCUAACAUAAAGGAGAUUAGUUCUUGUGCUGACUGAUGCAGGAUUCACAAAGACGGCUUCGGCCGACUUUGUAAACUCGAUCUCAAAUCAAGUAAGACUACCCGCUGAACUUAAGCAUAUCAAUAAGCGGAGGA
rnacentral:misc_RNA from 1 species